AGAGUUUGAUCAUGGCUCAGAAUCAACGCUGGCGGCGUGCCUCAGACAUGCAAGUCGAACGCGAAAGUUCCCUUCGGGGAGCGAGUAGAGUGGCGCACGGGUGAGUAACACGUAGGUAAUCUACCUUUGGAUGGGGAAUAACAACCGGAAACGGUGGCUAAUACCGCAUAAUGCAGCGGCACCUAAUGGUGACGGUUGUUAAAGCGGGGGAUCGUAAGACCUCGCGUCUGAAGAGGAGCCUGCGGCAGAUUAGCUAGUUGGUAAGGUAACGGCUUACCAAGGCGAUGAUCUGUAGCCGGCCUGAGAGGGCGGUCGGCCACACUGACACUGACAUACGGGUCAGACUCCUACGGGAGGCAGCAGUCGGGAAUUUUGGGCAAUGGGCGAAAGCCUGACCCAGCAACGCCGCGUGAAGGAUGAAAUCCCUCGGGAUGUAAACUUCGCAAGAACGGGAAGAAUAAGUAAGAGCUAACAUCUCUUAUGAUGACGGUACUGUUUGUAAGCUCCGGCUAACUCCGUGCCAGCCGCCGCGGUAAUUC
rnacentral:rRNA from 1 species